rnacentral:lncRNA from 1 species
AAUUCCUCUCAAGUUCUUUGCUGGUGUUGCUCUGUCAGAAGAGCUGAAUACGGAUCACAGUGACCUCUGGAAAACAUGCAAGAUGAGUAUCCUUCUGCCUCUGCUGAUUGGUUAAUGCCUCAGCAACAUCCCAACCUAUUAUUCUACUUUUCAUCCUAUCAACAAGUUGUGAGCCAAUUUCACGAAGACACCAAGUUUGAUCUGAUGACGGCAACAUUCCCCAAUGCAUUGCAAGACGUGGGGCAAGCAGUAUGCAUGAUCCUGCCUUGAAGGAGCAUUGAAGCUGGUUUGUCUCUGAUCACAGGGGGAGAUGGAGGUCAGUCAUUCAAGCAGCCUGUCCUUGGCUUUCUCCCCACACAAGAAAGCACCAGCCAAUGGUGCUUUGGCUCGGUGUGAUGGAUGGACUGUUUCCCUUCCUGGGUCACCUGCUAUCCUAGUUUGGAUCUCUGCAGGUAGACUGUCUCUGAUCACAGCAGGGAGCUGGGGAAGGAUCUUUCCAGGACCUAGCAUAUGCACAAGGUGGGAUGAAGAAAGGCUUGUACAUGCUGUGCCCCCAAAUCCGGAGACAGAAAUUGCAGGAAUCAUCUUGGAUCAGAAUCCUAAAAUCUUACUGAGGCAGCACCUAAAUGGGGCACUGCUGAAGCUCUUUGAAAGUCAGACUUUCUUCUGGUAA